AGGGUCAGGAGGACUCCGAUGACAGCAUGGGCUGAUAGCAGACAUCUACUGAGGGAUGUCCAUAGACAGAAUUUAGUUUUUCUUUCUUUUACUUUUAUUUUUUUUUAUUUUAGUUUAUUUUAUUUUAGUUCAUUUUAAAUUCUUAGAAUAGGUUGAAUUUUAAUUUUGGUGUGUACUCUUGGCUUUAACACUUGUUCUGAAAAUGUUUGACUGACUGAUUUGCAUGAUGGAGCUAUUUGAUGUUUAUUUGAUGUGGAUGAGAAUUGAGUUGCAAUGCAUGUUGAUAUUC
rnacentral:lncRNA from 1 species